ACUCAAAUGAAUUGACGGGGGCCCGCACAAGCGGUGGAGCAUGUGGUUUAAUUCGACGCAACGCGCAGAACCUUACCCAGACUUGACAUCCACGGAAUCCUUCAGAGAUGAGGGAGUGCCCGCAAGGGAGCCGUGAGACAGGUGCUGCAUGGCUGUCGUCAGCUCGUGUCGUGAGAUGUUGGGUUAAGUCCCGCAACGAGCGCAACCCUCGCUUCCAGUUGCCAUCAUUCAGUUGGGCACUCUGGAGGGACUGCCGGUGUCAAGCCGGAGGAAGGUGGGGAUGACGUCAAGUCCUCAUGGCCUUUAUGUCUGGGGCUACACACGUGCUACAAUGGUCGGUACAAAGGGCAGCAAGGGCGCGAGCCGGAGCCAAUCCCAGAAAACCGAUCCCAGUUCGGAUCGAAGUCUGCAACUCGACUUCGUGAAGUCGGAAUCGCUAGUAAUCGCGGAUCAGAACGCCGCGGUGAAUACGUUCCCGGGCCUUGUACACACCGCCCGU
rnacentral:rRNA from 1 species